rnacentral:lncRNA from 1 species
GUUCUUCCCUCAUGAAUAGAUCAAUGCUAUUAUCGUGGAAGUGGGCUUGUUAUUGCAGGAGUAGGUUCCUUACAAAAGGAUGAGUUCAGCCUCCUUUUGCCUCUUUCUCUCCCUCAUUCUCUUUUUGCCCUUCUUUCAUGGGAUGAUGCAGCAAGAAGGCCCUUGCCAGAUGCCAGCAACUUGAUAUUGAACUUCUCAUCCUCCAGAAUGGUGAUGGCCACAGUGGCAGAACCUAGGAAGCCAAGAAGAAACCAGAGAAUGGAGACACAUGGCAGCAAUGGCAAGUCAUCAGACCCAGGAUUUCCCAAAGAACACUGGUCCAGGAAGAUGCUCUGUGAAAAAGUGUUCCCUGGUCGGAGAAAUUUGUGAAACACUUUGCAUAAUACUUAAAAGAAUGUAUGGCACAUCAAAGGUAAUAUGCAAUAAAAGAAUUCAUUUUUUUAAAACCAA